GAUGAACGCUGGCGGCGUGCCUAAUACAUGCAAGUCGAGCGAACAGAUGAGGAGCUUGCUCCUCUGACGUUAGCGGCGGACGGGUGAGUAACACGUGGAUAACCUACCUAUAAGACUGGGAUAACUUCGGGAAACCGGAGCUAAUACCGGAUAAUAUAUUGAACCGCAUGGUUCAAUAGUGAAAGACGGUUUUGCUGUCACUUAUAGAUGGAUCCGCGCCGCAUUAGCUAGUUGGUAAGGUAACGGCUUACCAAGGCAACGAUGCGUAGCCGACCUGAGAGGGUGAUCGGCCACACUGGAACUGAGACACGGUCCAGACUCCUACGGGAGGCAGCAGUAGGGAAUCUUCCGCAAUGGGCGAAAGCCUGACGGAGCAACGCCGCGUGAGUGAUGAAGGUCUUCGGAUCGUAAAACUCUGUUAUUAGUGAAGAACAAAUGUGUAAGUAACUAUGCACGUCUUGACGGUACCUAAUCAGAAAGCCACGGCUAACUACGU
rnacentral:rRNA from 1 species